ACGCUGGCGGCGUGCCUAAUACAUGCAAGUCGAGCGAAGUUUUUCUGGUGCUUGCACUAGAAAAACUUAGCGGCGAACGGGUGAGUAACACGUAAAGAACCUGCCUCAUAGACUGGGACAACUAUUGGAGACGAUAGCUAAUACCGGAUAACAGCAUUAACUGCAUGGUUGAUGUUUGAAAGUUGGUUUUGCUAACACUAUGAGAUGGCUUUGCGGUGCAUUAGCUAGUUGGUGGGGUAAAGGCCUACCAAGGCGACGAUGCAUAGCCGACCUGAGAGGGUGAUCGGCCACACUGGGACUGAGACACGGCCCAGACCCCUACGGGAGGCAGCAGUAGGGAAUCUUCCGCAAUGGGCGAAAGCCUGACGGAGCAACGCCGCGUGAGUGAAGAAGGAUUUCGGUUCGUAAAGCUCUGUUGUUAGGGAAGAAUGAUUGUGUAGUAACUAUACACAGUAGAGACGGUACCUAACCAGAAAGCCACGGCUAACCACGUGCCAGCAGCCGCGGUAAUACGUAGGUGGCAAGCGUUGUCCGGAAUUAUUGGGCGUAAAGCGCGCGCAGGUGGUUUAAUAAGUCUGAUGUGAAAGCCCACGGCUCAACCGUGGAGGGUCAUUGGAAACUGUUAAACUUGAGUGCAGGAGAGAAAAGUGGAAUUCCUAGUGUAGCGGUGAAAUGCGUAGAGAUUAGGAGGAACACCAGUGGCGAAGGCGGCUUUUUGGCCUGUAACUGACACUGAGGCGCGAAAGCGUGGGGAGCAAACAGGAUUAGAUACCCUGGUAGUCCACGCCGUAAACGAUGAGUGCUAAGUGUUGGUCUCAUAAGAGAUCAGUGCUGCAGCUAACGCAUUAAGCACUCCGCCUGGGGAGUACGACCGCAAGGUUGAAACUCAAAGGAAUUGACGGGGACCCGC
rnacentral:rRNA from 1 species